rnacentral:rRNA from 1 species
AACAGGAUUUCUCCAAAUCAAAKGUUUGUUAAAUACCCUAAGGCAGAGUUUGCAAUCAUCGUGAAAAUGCUGAAAUAAAAGAGUCAGGGAGAGGUUUAAUACGACUACCCUGUUGUAGCGGUGAAAGCACAGACAAAUUGGAAGGMAUAAUUGAUGGAGAAAGUGCAGGCGUUGUAGCCUUAACAUUGCCCGUGAUGUGCUAGAGCCCGGGGAUCCAUACAGGAGUAGAUACCAGGGUAGUGCAAUCCGUAAACGAUGUCUUUUCAACGUUGGCGCCUUUKAGGCCUUAGUGGCGCAGCUAACCCGAUAAGUAGGCCUCCUGGGGAGUCCGUUCGCAAGACUAAAACUCACAUGAAUUGCCGGGGGCCCGCACAAGCGGUGGAGCAUGUGGUUUAAUUAGAUACAACGAGAAGAACCUUACCUGGCCUUGACAUACUAAGAACUUUCCAGAGAUGGAUUGGUGCCUUCGGGAACUUAGAUACAGGUGCYGCAUGGCUGUUGUCAGCUCGUGUCGUGAGAUGUUGGGUUAAGUCCCGCAACGAGCGCAACCCUUUUCCUUAUUUGCCAGCGGGUAAUGCCGGGAACUUUAAGGAUACUGCCAGUGACAAACUGGAGGAAGGCGGGGACGACGUCAAGUCAUCAUGGCCCUUACGGCCAGGGCUACACACGUGCUACAAUGGUCGGUACAAAGGGUUGCUACCUCGCGAGAGGAUGCUAAUCUCAAAAAGCCGAUCGUAGUCCGGAUCGCAGUCUGCAACUCGACUGCGUGAAGUCGGAAUCGCUAGUAAUCGCGGAUCAGAAUGCCGCGGUGAAUACGUUCCCGGGCCUUGUACACACCGCCCGUCACACCAUGGGAGUUUGUUGCACCAGAAGUAGGUAGUCUAACCGCAAGGAGGACGCUAACCAUCGGGUUCGUUUCCCUUUAAAA